UGGAGGGAAAACCCUUGAACCAACAUCAAACGCCAACGUGGUUUUUGUAGAAGAAGAAGCAGCGCGCCCAAAGCUAAAGCUACAGAGAAUUAAUAAUAAUAAUAAUAAUAAUAAUAAACCAGCAUUUUGUAGAUUCUGAUUUUCUGUGUGUGUGUGUUUGGAGAGUGGAUAGAAAAAACAAUGAACUUGGAAGACGACGACUGGGAACUGAGCGCAGAACAACUUGAUUCCCUUGAAAAAGACGCUUUCAACAAGAUUGCUCAACAACGCCUUAACCCAUCCUCUUUCCCUUCUUCUUCUUCUUCUUCUUCUUCCAUUAACCAACAACAACAACAACAACAACAGCAACAUGGUUUUAAUUCCAACAACCGUACCAACUACAACUACAGGAAUUACUUGGAGAGCUUCCCUGCUAAACCCAUUGCUGAUUCUCGUCCUAACGAGGCUGACGCUUUGUAUUUGAGGUCCAGAGUAUUGCCUGCAUCAGUCCCAACAAAAUCGAACACUGAAGAUGAACAUUCGAAGGAGCUACCUAAGGUCUCUGUCAAAUUUUUUCUUCAUGCCAGUGGAAAUAUUGCUGCAAAAUUCUCAUAUGACCCUGUAGUAGUAGAUGCAUUCCGCAGGAUCCCCAAGGCCACUUGGAAUGCGAAAGAAAGGUUAUGGAUUUUUCCAGCAUCUUCAUUGUCAUUGGUGGAAAAACAACUCAGUGAAAUAUCUGGUGCUAAAAUUCAGGUAGAGAACUUAGAUCCCUUGGUGCACCGUGCCAUUGCUGCGGCUCUUGCUGUUCCAGAUCUUCAAGACCGAUAUGACAGAAUACCCACUAGUAUGGAAUCAAAGCUCUUGCCAUUUCAGCGAGAAGGUGUUAGGUUUAUAUUGCGACAUGGAGGGCGUGCUCUUCUUGCUGAUGAGAUGGGACUAGGAAAGACUUUACAGGCUAUUGCUGUAGCUUCAUGCAUUCGUGACUCAUGGCCUGUUCUUAUAAUGGCACCAUCUUCAUUGCGUUUACAAUGGGCUUCUAUGAUUCAACAAUGGCUGGAGAUUCCUCCAUCCGAUAUUCUUGUUGUUUUGUCUCAAUGUGGGGGAUCAAACAGAGGAGGAUUCACAAUAGUGUCCACAAACUCCAAAGGAACCAUUCAUCUCGAUGGCCUAUUUAAUAUCAUCUCAUAUGAUGUGGUCCCUAAAUUGCAGAAUUUACUAAUGGCAUCAGACUUUAAGGUUGUGAUUGCAGAUGAGUCACACUUUUUGAAAAAUGCUCAAGCAAAGAGAACAACUGCUUCUGUUCCAGUUAUUAAGAAAGCUCAAUAUGCGAUAUUACUUAGUGGAACUCCUGCUUUGUCUCGGCCAAUUGAAUUAUUCAAGCAGUUGGAAGCCUUGUAUCCUGAUGUAUUUAGAAGUGUCCAUGAAUAUGGUAAUCGAUAUUGCAAGGGUGGAGUAUUUGGAAUCUAUCAAGGUGCAAGUAACCAUGAAGAAUUGCAUAAUUUGAUGAAAGCAACACUGAUGAUUCGCAGACUUAAAAAAGAUGUUCUUUCUGAGCUUCCUACAAAGCGUAGGCAACAGGUCUUCGUAGAUUUGGCUGAGAAGGACAUGAAACAAAUUAAGGCAUUGUUUCGUGAGUUGGAGGUGGUAAAACAGAAAAUUAAGGCCUGCAAAUCAAAAGAAGAGGUUGACUCUCUGAAAUUUUCUGAGAAGAACCUUAUUAAUAAGAUAUAUAUUGAUUCUGCUGAAGCCAAGAUCCCUGCAGUUUUAGAUUACCUGGCAACUGUUGUUGAGGUGGGAUCAAAUUUGUUAAUAAGCAGUGUGAAUCUCUCCAACAUGUUCAUCUCGGAGUCAACAUGUCAAAAUUUUUACUGCUAUUCGUCUUUCCUACUGCACUGUAUGACAUGCUGGAAGGCCCCUUUACUUGCUGCAGGCUGCAAAUUUCUCAUUUUCGCACACCAUCAGCUCAUGAUUGAUUCAAUACAUCAGUCUCUUCUUAAGAAGAAAGUGGGUUGCAUUCGAAUUGAUGGCAGUACGCCUCCAGCAUCAAGGCAAGCUUUGGUCACAGAUUUUCAGGAAAAAGAUUCUAUAAAGGCUGCUGUGCUAUCUAUCAAAGCUGGAGGUGUUGGGUUAACUUUAACAGCUGCAAGCACUGUUAUCUUUGCAGAAUUGUCUUGGACUCCAGGUGACUUAAUUCAAGCUGAAGAUCGUGCUCAUAGAAUUGGCCAGGCAUCUUCGGUCAAUAUAUACUACCUGCUAGCAAACGACACAGUUGAUGAUAUCAUAUGGGAUGUUGUUCAGAGCAAGUUGGAAAAUUUGGGACAGAUGCUUGAUGGCCAUGAGAAUACUAUGGAGGUUGCAGACUGCCAACCAAGAAGCAGCCCUGCAAAACAGAAAAAGCUAGACUCCUUCAUGAAGCGGUGUAACAAUGUGGAUGACUAUGGAAAUCAGUCUAAACUCAAAAAUCCAAGGCAUUGAACCAGUCUGUACAGAAUGGUAAUAUAUUUGCACCAUGAUGCAGCUUCACGGGAAUCGGCUAAUGGAACAUGGUCAUUUUUAAAAUCCAAGCACAUGGUUUCACUUUACCCUAUUAGAAACAAUAUGCUGACAGCCCUUUUCAACUUGCAAUGAAGGGAUUGGUGGAACCUGCCGAUUAAAGUUAUGAGUUGAUGACUUAACCACGGAUAGAGACAUUGAUUCCACGAUCCAAAUUGAAAAUUUUGCUGAUAGAAAUCCUGGUAUAAAUCUAUGGUCAUAUGGAACGGGAAGAAGUGACGAAUGGAAUCAUAUUGAAAACUUACCCAAAAUUUCUUCUCUCUUUCUGAUUUGCCUGGUCAUUCAUAGAAACUGAGGGGCUUGUAAAAUGUAACUGACAGAGCUAUCCAAUACAGCAUUGUAUGUACUAAAGGCUGCCAAUUUAUGCCCAACAUAGAUUUAUUUUAAAAGGUAGUGCCUUAAAACUCUA